CCUCCUCAUCCCUUUCCGAGACAGUUAGCUCAAAUUGUAAAAAGGGUUCUCUCUGCAGAAUCUAAAACAGGCCCCAGAAAAAAUUAACCCAAAAAUGGUACCUCCCACUGCUCAAAUCGCUUUUUCAGCCUCCUGUAGCUAGUUCCUCUUCCACCUUUCGAACAAGGAUGCAAUUCUGAAGCAUGCUCAGCUCAUGAAAGAACUAGGAGAUAAUAAAGCCGCUAAUGGCUUGUGAAUAUAGAAACUUUUCCCGAAAAAGAGAGAGAGAUCACUUUUGCUCAUCGUUUUUGGGUUUCUUGAUCUCUAAUUUGAUAUUGUGCUUAUGAACAGAGAAGUUGCCGCUCCUUCCACUCAACCAAUCGGUCAGGUUCUCCUGCUGCGCGUGUGAUCACCACAGCUUUUCGAGUCGGGAUCGGUAUAGGUGUAGCAUUUUCAGAGUGUAAUAGGGUGUUUCACGAGUGAAAACCUUUAUUUAUUGUAUUACAUACUUUAUUAUGAUUCUAGCCGUGGCACUUUUUAGCCAAAGUUGACUGGGAAUAUAUUUGUUUUGACAGAAAUUUUAGAUAUGAUGGCGUGAUGGAAAUUAGAUAAAUUUUAAAAAUUAGUCUUA